CCUACGGGAGGCUGCAGUGAGGAAUAUUGGUCAAUGGGCGGAAGCCUGAACCAGCCAAGCAGCGUGAAGGAAGAAGGCUUUCGGGUUGUAAACUUCUUUUAAGAGGGAAGAGCAGAAGACGGUACCUCUUGAAUAAGCCACGGCUAACUACGUGCCAGCAGCCGCGGUAAUACGUAGGUGGCAAGCGUUGUCCGGAUUUACUGGGUGUAAAGGGCGUGUAGCCGGGCUGACAAGUCAGAUGUGAAAUCCCGUGGCUCAACCACGGAACUGCAUUUGAAACUGUCGGUCUUGAGUAUCGGAGAGGCAGGCGGAAUUCCUAGUGUAGCGGUGAAAUGCGUAGAUAUUAGGAGGAACACCAGUGGCGAAGGCGGCCUGCUGGACGACAACUGACGGUGAGGCGCGAAAGCGUGGGGAGCAAACAGGAUUAGAUACCCCUGUAGUC
rnacentral:rRNA from 1 species